rnacentral:rRNA from 1 species
GACGAACGCUGGCGGCGCGCUUAACACAUGCAAGUCGAGCGAGAACCAGGCCUUCGGGCCUGGGGAAAGCGGCGAACGGGUGAGUAACACGUGGGUAAUCUGCCCUCGGCACCGGAAUAGCCCGGGGAAACCCGGAUUAAUGCCGGAUAGCCUCUCGAGCCCUCGGGCUCGUGAGAAAAGGUAGCUUCGGCCUCUGGCCGAGGAGGAGCACGCGGCGGAUUAGCUUGUUGGUGGGGUAACGGCUCACCAGGGCGACGAUCCGUAGCUGGUCUGGGGGGACGCUCAGCCACACUGGGACUGAGACACGGCCCAGACUCCUACGGGAGGCAGCAGUGGGGAAGCUUGCGCAACGGGAGAAAGCCUGGCGCAGCGACGCCGCGUGCGGGAAGAAGGCCUUCGGGUUGUAAACCGCUUUCAGGAGGGACGAAGCCACUCGGGUUAAUAGCCCAGAGGGUGACGGUACCUCCAGAAGAAGCCCCGGCCAACUACGUGCCAGCCGCCGCCGUAAAAC